rnacentral:rRNA from 1 species
GACGGAGGAUGCAAGCGUUAUCCGGAAUGAUUGGGCGUAAAGCGUCCGCAGGUGGCAGUUCAAGUCUGCUGUCAAAGACCGGGGCUUAACUUCGGAAAGGCAGUGGAAACUGAACAGCUGGAGUACGGUAGGGGCAGAGGGAAUUUCCGGUGGAGCGGUGAAAUGCAUUGAGAUCGGAAAGAACACCAACGGCGAAAGCACUCUGCUGGGCCGACACUGACACUGAGAGACGAAAGCUAGGGGAGAAAUGGG